CCUACGGGAGGCAGCAGUGAGGAAUAUUGGUCAAUGGUCGGGAGACUGAACCAGCCAAGCCGCGUGAGGGAUGAAGGUACAGAGUAUCGUAAACCUCUUUUGUCAGGGAACAAAGGCGGGGACGCGUCCCCGGAUGAGUGUACCUGAAGAAAAAGCAUCGGCUAACUCCGUGCCAGCAGCCGCGGUAAUACGGAGGAUGCGAGCGUUAUCCGGAUUUAUUGGGUUUAAAGGGUGCGCAGGCGGUCUGUUAAGUCAGUGGUAAAAGCCCGGGGCUCAACCCCGGCCCGCCGUUGAAACUGGCAGUCUCGAGUUGGAGAGAAGUAUGCGGAAUGCGCGGUGUAGCGGUGAAAUGCAUAGAUAUCGCGCAGAACUCCGAUUGCGAAGGCAGCAUGCCGGCUCCACACUUACGCUGAGGCACGAAAGCGUGGGUAUCGAACAGGAUUAGAUACCCUUGUAGUC
rnacentral:rRNA from 1 species